UACGGAAGGGGCAAGCGUUGUUCGGAAUCAUUGGGCGUAAAGAGCGCGUAGGCGGCCAGAUAAGUCCGGUGUGAAAGUCACAGGCUCAACCUGUGAAUGCCGCUGGAAACUGUCUGGCUAGAGUCCGGAAGAGGCGGAGUGGAAUUCCUGGUGUAGCGGUGAAAUGCGUAGAGAUCAGGAAGAACAUCGGUGGCGAAGGCGACUUGCUGGACCCUUUCUGACGCUGAGGCUCGAAAGCCAGGGGAGCAA
rnacentral:rRNA from 1 species